CUCGCGGCCUAUCAGCUUGUUGGUGGGGUGAUGGCCUACCAAGGCGUCGACGGGUAGCUGGUCUGAGAGGACGAUCAGCCACACUGGGACUGAGACACGGCCCAGACUCCUACGGGAGGCAGCAGUGGGGAAUCUUGCGCAAUGGGCGGAAGCCUGACGCAGCAACGCCGCGUGAGGGAUGAAUGCCUUCGGGUUGUAAACCUCUUUCGAGCGGGGAAGAUUGUGACGGUACCUGCAGAAGAAGCUCCGGCCAACUACGUGCCAGCAGCCGCGGUAAUACGUAGGGAGCGAGCGUUGUCCGGAUUUAUUGGGCGUAAAGAGCUCGUAGGCGGCUUGGUAAGUCGGAUGUGAAACCUCUAGGCUCAACCUGGAGACGCCAUCCGAUACUGCUAUGGCUUGAGUCCGGUAGGGGCCCACGGAAUUCCUGGUGUAGCGGUGAAAUGCGCAGAUAUCAGGAGGAACACCGGUGGCGAAGGCGGUGGGCUGGGCCGGUACUGACGCUGAGGAGCGAAAGCGUGGGGAGCGAACAGGAUUAGAUACCCUGGUAGUCCACGCCGUAAACGUUGGGCACUAGGUGUGGGAUCUUUCAACGGGUUCCGUGCCGUAGCUAACGC
rnacentral:rRNA from 1 species